rnacentral:rRNA from 1 species
UCUACAGGCUAUACUAUCCUGAACACACCCAAUCUUGUCUGAUCUCAGAAGCUAAGAAAGGUUGGGCCUGUUUAGUACUUGGGUGUGAAAAUUGGUUUCUUGAACAU